GACGAACGCUGGCGGCGUGCUUAACACAUGCGAGUCGAACGCUGAAGCUUGGUGCUUGCACUGGGUGGAUGAGUGGCGAACGGGUGAGUAAUACGUGAGUAACCUGCCCUUGACUCUGGGAUAAGCCUGGGAAACUGGGUCUAAUACUGGAUAUGACAUGCCACUGCAUGGUGGUGUGUGGAAAGGGUUUUACUGGUUUUGGAUGGGCUCACGGCCUAUCAGCUUGUUGGUGGGGUAAUGGCCUACCAAGGCGACGACGGGUAGCCGGCCUGAGAGGGUGACCGGCCACACUGGGACUGAGACACGGCCCAGACUCCUACGGGAGGCAGCAGUGGGGAAUAUUGCACAAUGGGCGGAAGCCUGAUGCAGCGACGCCGCGUGAGGGAUGACGGCCUUCGGGUUGUAAACCUCUUUCAGCACGGAAGAAGCGAGAGUGACGGUACGUGCAGAAGAAGCGCCGGCUAACUACGUG
rnacentral:rRNA from 1 species